rnacentral:rRNA from 1 species
AUUGAACGCUGGCGGCAGGCUUAACACAUGCAAGUCGAACGAGCGGCGGACGGGUGAGUAAUGUCUGGGAAACUGCCUGAUGGAGGGGGAUAACUACUGGAAACGGUAGCUAAUACCGCAUACCAUCAGAUGUGCCCAGAUGGGAUUAGCUAGUAGGUGGGGUAAUGGCUCACCUAGGCGACGAUCCCUAGCUGGUCUGAGAGGAUGACCCAGCAAACUUGGAAUGGGACACGGGCCAGACUCCUACGGGAGGCAGCAGUGGGGAAUAUUGCACAAUUGGCGCAAGCCUGAUGCAGCCAGGCCGCGUGUGUGAAGGAGGCCGUCGGGUUGGUAAGCACUUUCAGCGAGGAGGCGUUACUCGCAGAAGAAGCACCGGCUAACUCCGUGCCAGCAGCCGCGGUAAUAC